ACUAAAAAUUAAUUGGUCUGAAAAUUGGCUCUAGUGCGAAUUACUUUUCUCCCAAAUCAUUAUUUUCAGAAAACGUUUUACACGAUAACUUGUUUAAUGAUUUUAUGACAGAUCUACAGGGUGUAUCAAAAAAAGCGCAAUCCUCGACUGAAAUGUAAAUUGCUAAACAAAUAAUAGACGUAAACGUUAAAGUUUACAUUCAUUUUAAAGCGUAGCCAUUCAGCUUUCUAACAGUGGGUUGUUUCUUAAAUUUGACUCAUUGGUUCGCGGGUAAUAAUACUUUACGUUAUUGCGAUUGGAGAUUAAAA